rnacentral:lncRNA from 1 species
AUUUUCUAAAACUAAUUGUUAUUUCCAAUGAUCUACUUUUGCACAAUUUAAGUCUCCACAGUCUUUUUCUUGUGAAAUACUCUUAACUCUCAAUAAUCAAUAUAUUAUAAUUCUCCCAUUCAUAUACAUACUUCACAAAUAUCUUCAAUUAUCGACUUUCCAAUUUUCUACUUAUAAUUUAGUAUACAAUCAAUUCAAUUUCUCAUUUGACAUCAUAUAAAUCAAAACUUUCUUUUAUUACAAAAUUUCACUUUACAUUAUUUAAAAUCUAUCCAUUAUCCUUCUUUUAUAAAAAAAAUAAAAAUGAGAAGUAGAACCAAGCUUAUCCUGGCUCAUGACUAUCACAGUCUAGUCUUGUCUACUUUUUCUUCAACCAAUUUAUA